rnacentral:snRNA from 13 species
UGGCUUUCUUGGUGGGUGAGAUACCAUCGUCAAGAAGGUGAUUUCCACAGAAUGAAGAUCAACUCCUGUGUUCUCGGUGUGCUGCCUCUUCUGACUUGGUUGAAUAUGGGAAACUCAGCUGCACAGUCUGUGCAGAAGGGGGGCUGUGUUGAUGCCCUCUCCUA